rnacentral:lncRNA from 1 species
GCUGGAGUGUCUUAGUUCACGGAGGUGAGCCUAUUCAGUAAAAUUUGUGAAUAGAUACGUUUGUGUUUUUUUUAGUGCAUUCUUUUCUUUCCCGCGAACCUACAAUGUGUUUUGACAUGUGGUAAGUCUUUGAAGUUUUUGUGAAUGAUUAGGCUUAUGGGAAAUGUAGUUCUAGAAAUUAGAAAACACUACCAUCUCGCUUGCGUGAGUUGUUUGUUUGUGUUGUCGCAUAGGUGUGUGUUAGAACGAAGAUGUCUUCGGUGCUCGAAGAUUGUCCUCUUUACUUGAGAGGUGUACAAAGGAGCAAUUAUUACAAAUUGCCGAACACUUUAGUAUCGAUCUUACUACUCAAAUUGUUGAGAUUUUAGGAUUGUCCCCACAACAGUCAGCAGUCAGAUUGAGAAAAUGUAUCCUGGUCUGAUGAUGAAGCUUUUGGUUGAGACAGUGAAGGAGACCCUCAUUACAUUUGAACCGAACAUCAUGACUGUUCAGGCCAGCAGUAGUGACAGCUUAAACAAUUCAGCCCAACAGCACACUAUCUCCACUAUUUGUCCUCAAUCUGGUGAGUCACAACAGGAGGAAUAACCAAAAAUGAAUUUAAAUGAGGUAAGAAAAGUUUAAUAAUGAUUUUCCCUUCAACCAACAGGAGGGCAGUGUCAGUACUCACAUAUAUGUGACUGAGCUCAAAAUGGCAGGAAACGUGACCCUCAACAAGUGAGUUUUGGACCCAUAAAUGCAGUCUAUUCAUACUGUACACAGCUGGAUGUGUGUUUAUGUUCUAAAAUUAUUAAAGGAUUGGUACAAACUUUAAUUCUCUUGAACAGAAUUGAUAUGAGCUUAGCAAAAAGCUAUGUGGGACCAUUCCAGGUAAAAAGAAAUUAGGAAAAGUGUUUAAAACUGAUCUGAAAGCAAAUAAUUCAGAACCUCAACAUAAAAUUUAAAUUGACAGGUGACAUCCCCAAGGUUAAUGGUAAGAGUUUAUUAUUAUUGUUGUUUUCUUUUUAUUGGCAUUUUAAGUGAAAAAAUUCAUUUUUAUUGUAAUGUACACAUGGGCUUUUUCUUUUCAGCUUGUUUACAGGAAGGUUAUCCACUUCCUGCCAUUGGAAAGAUGCAGCUUGUAAACAGUCAGCUCCAGGUUCUGAAGGACUACUUGCUGAUUGGAACGGAUGUUCAAUUUACAGGAUAAAUCUCACUUGAAUUGGCGAAAAAUAAAUACAUACAGUAAACGCUGA